ensembl:lncRNA
CUUUGGGAACAGCUUUGUAGGAGAGGGAAGGUGACACCUUUCAGUAGCACAAUAUUUUUAACCUUGGUUUGCUGCUGCGAGAGGCUCAGGUUUUGAAAUGCGUCGCCGAUGGUGGAGGAACAUGAUUGAGGCUACCAUUAUAUUGGAGGAAAUAGUUUUAAAGCCUCAUGCUAUCAGAUGAUGCUGUGUGUGUCCGAAGUGCUGUAUCUGCCUGCGCUGUGCCUCUGCCUCAAGAUCCAGUAUUCCAGGAAAACUUCUUACACUAGAGAUCAAGCUUUAAGCCUACACGUCCCUUUGAGGUGCAGAACCAACUCGGAACGUGGUCCUACAGCUCCAGAUCCAAGCUGGAAGCAGGCUGAAGCUUCAGAGGGCUUUGCGAGGCUAUGGCACUUGUAAACCUGAACCCACAUGACAUUUCUGAGUCUUCUGGUGGUGGCUGCUGUUCACCUCACUAAUGGGAUCGCUAUCUGCCUCUGAAGUAAGGAAGCUAAUGAUUGAGGCUCAUUAGUGGAAUAGAUACACUCUCAUAUCAGCAGAUCUGAAUGUCAGACAGGGCUCCCCAUCCAUCUGAAAACAUCAGCCCACGAACUUGCCGGAAACGUCACACGGUGCUGCAAAAUCAAUACCUUGCACCAGUGCUGUGCCUGGGGAAGGGCAGCCUGGUGGCGGAGCUUUAUUUCAGCACUUCCAUUUUGUUUGAGAUUUCUGAAGCCUCAGAAGCUGUCACACCAACUGCUUUUCCACCUCCAUUUGGUUUUAACAGCAAGUGGGACGUGCGUGUUUGAGCAACCUGUCUACCGUGCAAAGGUAAAGAAUCUUUAAGUCCCAUGCGGAGUGGCUGGUCCAGCUUUACCUUGAAAACCUCCAAGAAAUAAACAAGUCAUUAAUGUUGGGAGUUGAAGCGCUGAAUCAUGCCUCCCACGCUUUAGAACUUGUGUUCCAUUGAGUCUAAUUAUUUCACACUUGCUACACGGAUCUUUGAGCAACCUCUUCUGAGAAUAUUCACACUGAAAAAGAAAAAGCUCUGAUAAGAAGUCUAACACUGGGACAAAGGCUCUGGUCAAACUCGCCGGAACCAAAUGUUGACUGGUCUCCCAGGAAUGACGGCACCAAACAAAUUCAGGCAAACUUGGAAUUACAGCGAGAGCAGCGUAGUCAACGUGCAGCUGACCAGGUGUAUUGCAACCUCAAGAAAAUGCUGAACCAUAAAAGCACUUUAACCGGUUCCAUCUGUGUAUCUGAGAUGGAGUGAGAGUAUGUUUGAAUUCCACCAAAUCCCUCUCCUCUGUUGCAGCCCUGAGCAGAGCAGAGAGUCAGCAGAAAUAGGACACUGCUUUUUGCUGUUGCUUGAGGACUGGGGAUAGGGAGUUACUAUUUGUUUAAAAAUGGAUAAAUAAAUCACUAACCUACAGCAAACUCAGGAAGGCAAUGUAUCAGGUACUCGACAGCUCUCAGUGCUGAGAAGGAACUUCAGCACUACGACAUUGUUUUCCUGUGUGCCAUUCUUAUCUGACAGGUAGUACCAGCUGCCAGAACCCAUGUGGCUUUACUCUGUACUUUGUAUUGAAAUAUAAAUGGAGCUGAAUGCUUGUCAUAGUCCUGUGGGCAGGGCUCCUGUCUACUGCAGAGUUUAAUAUUGUGAUUGGCAACGUGAAAUCAGCUGAUGUAAUCCAUUCCAUUACAGAUAUUCACGGCAUGCCAUAUUACAAUACAGAGGCAGAGGUUUAGAGACUAGAAAGAUGUGACAAGCCAAAAAGCCAACCCAUUCAGAACCAAGGCUGGCACUGAAGAGCACCCCUCACUUUACAUUCACAAAAGUUCCUUUUAAUGCCAUUAGGAGUACACAGGAAGCAAAAUUCAGGUCAGGCACAAAGCACAUGGCAAAUAAAGUCACGGUUCCCCAGGCCACAUCUGACUGUAGAUCUGUCUUUAGCAUUACCUAGUGACUCAUGAUCACCAGCAUGUAUUGUCCAAAGUCAUUCCUAGGUUUCCCCAUUCUUUGGCCAAACAUCACAAGGCUUGGCUUAUUGUAGUGCAGGGGGAAGGAGCAGCACAGAGGCGUUUGUUCCUCUUUCUAGCAGCCUCACAGUACUCCGGCAGUAGCUCAGAAGCUGAUGCAGUGAUCUGUGUGCUAUUACAAGUCACAAAGCUCUGUGCAGUUUACUUAUACUUUCGAAGUCCUGGAUAUUUCCUUCCUGAAUUUCUCACAUGCCACCAGCCUCCAUCAGAAGCCAACUCUCAUCAAGCAGCUCUUUUAGACUUGAGGGUGCAGGCAGAGUGACCCCCACCUGCUGACUAACCCAUUUCUUUCCCAAAGCACGUGUUGAGCAAAAUCAGCACUUCCACUGGUUUUAAGGGGGGCUGUUCUUGUGGAAGGCACUGGAGAGGCUUCACAUGCAACUGAGGAGUUUCUACUACAGACCAUUGAUGAAAUAUACGCAGCUCCUGGUGCUUGGGAUUGGAAGAGAAAAAAAUACUGACAAUGUACAUUGAAUACAGUGCUGUUUUGAAUACAAAUAGGCCCAAUGUGGGUGCAUCUUUCCCCAGUUCUCUUUAACGUUCAAAGGAGGCUGGAGCCCAAGUGAUUAAUUGAACAAGGUUAUCAUGUGUUUACUUUUAUUUGUGAAGGGAGCGGUAAAAACAAAGAGUAUAUGAAACAAACGUUGUUUGCUAUACCAUUAAAUCAAUUUCUUUCCUUUUGCAAUGGUUUCUAAGUGUUGUUGGUAAAAAUAAUGUUGCUUUCACAGUAUAUCAUGUAAAGUGAUUUCAGGUGCAGUUUUUCUGCUGCUGACCUCUGCACUGCUUGCAUUUCAG